rnacentral:misc_RNA from 1 species
CAAAUUAUAGAAGGGUGGACACUGCAAGAUAAAGUUCUCCUGUUCGUCUUAAAGAAUAAUAAACUUUGCAGGCAAUACAUCUUCAAACAGCUGAUUGCUUCAGAGCGUGGACUACUUCUCACCUGCAAUAUUCAAGAUAGCAACAAAAGCACUUUGUGAUGAAUGGAUUAUACGUGGAAUAAUAACUUUGUAUACAGAUCGCCACGGAGGAGCUAAAAGCGGUGUGUACGUAUAAACACCACAUAUUGGACGAGAAUCCCAAGAGAAAGUAGUCCAUCGAAUAAGAAUAACGAAAUAAAGGCUUGUUAGACGAGGUCCAAUCCAGUCCUACUAGUGUUGCCAACGUUUUACAAUGUUUCAUCGACAGAAGAUCGACACACGCUCUUGAGGCUUAGCGAUUUAAUGUGGAUUUAAUACUACCAUUAUGAGUUUUGGGAGCCAUUUCAAUAUAACGGGCGGUUAUUUUGAACCGGUUCAUAUCUCUGUUGAGACGCAGUUGUCGAGAGUUAAAGAGCAGCAGGAGGAUUUGAAUAACACUGAUACACCUGGCAUGGAAGGAAACUUACAAGAUAUGUUAUAUACAACGUACAGUACCAUCACCCGGGAUAUAGUCAAUCACACACGCGAUCCCCCUUGGGGUCAUAAUAUGGAUAAUAUCACGGCUGGGAUUUUUAAUUGUACGAUGGAUAGCAACAACGCGACCAAUUGCAGUAUGACAGGGGAGGUCAUGAUGAUGACAGCUCCCGAACCCUUUCCGAUUGCGCAUCAAGCUGCAUUGAUACUUGUAUAUUCGCUGACGUCACUUCUUGCUGUAUGUGGAAAUUUAAUCGUACUGAUAGUUUUUAUAAAGGGUAAGAAAUCAAGGAGUGAUCUUACCCCAUUUUUGAUAAAUCUUGCCUGUUCUGAUUUGAUCAUGGCAGUAUUUUGCAUUCCAUUUACAUUCACACCGACAAUGCUACGGAACUGGAUUUUUCCAAGUAUAAUGUGUCCAAUGGUGCUUUAUAUGCAAACAGUAGCCGUCACUGCAAGUGUCUCCACCAAUAUGGCCAUAGGAUUAGAUAGAUUCUGGGUCGUCCAGUUCCCACUUAAAUCUCGUGCAGUUGGGGGCAAACGUUCAACAUAUGUAAUAGUAAUAAUUUGGGCGAUCGCUCUUGGAUUAUCCAUUGUUCAAUUAGUGGUAGGUAGGACAAAGGAGUAUCCUUUAGGAAAUGGUGUAGUCCUGAAGGAAUGUACAGAAGACUGGCCAAAUCAUACAUAUAGACGCGUUUAUACGUUCUUUAUAUUGAUUGUGACAUAUCUCCUACCACUAGUCAUUUUGAUAGUGGCCUACAGUAUUGUUGGCAUGAACCUGUGGAGGAGAACAGCUCCGGGCGAAAAAGAUUCGGUCAGAGAUCGUCAACAAAACAAGUCCAAACGAAAAGUUGUCCAAAUGCUGGUUACAAUCGUAGCUCUAUUUGGACUAUGCUGGUUCCCGCUCCAUUUAUUUGCCCUCGUGCUAGACUUCCGUCCAGAUCUCAUGGCUUAUGAGGAUAUUCUGACCAUCAUAUACUACUGCGUGCAUUGGCUAGCCAUGUCUAACAGCUUUCAGAAUCCUAUUAUAUAUGGCUUCCUCAAUGAUAGCUUCAAGAUCGAUCUACGGAUUAUCCUGUCAAAAUGGUUUCCAUGCUGUUGCAAAUACAGACGCCCCAUGAACCAGAGCUUUAGAUCGACAAUGCGCUACGAUAAUACCCGGUACACAACACGGCGUGUUCCAACCAAACCUGAGCCAGAUAGUUCAAGCGGUAGUGGCUCACGGGGCAGUGGAUCCGUACGAGUGGCUAGCUCACAGCAAAGACUUAUCAAAGAUCAAAAUAAAAGCAGAACGUUUGAAAAGUUGGCUAUGGAGUCUGGUGAAGUCAACAAGCUUCUGAGUCCAUCAAACAAUCAUACUCACAGUCUUCCAAAUGGAAGGACGCAGAUCUGAUUAGACUAUGAUGGGUUGGCGGAUGAUUUAUAUCUCCUAAUGGAUACGUUCGUGUGGAUAUACGUGUAUCUUUGAACACUUGCCAAAUAUGUCUCUUAUUAAAAUGGCACCUUUAUAAUUGCAUUUCAGUUUAUGAGUCCGUCUCACACCAUAUUACAAUAAAACUGAGCAAAUGCCAAAUAUUCAUAAACUAUAUCUAUCGCCUAUCAUCUUUACUCAAUAACAUAUUGUAAUGAUUGAUUAUAUAACGUUUAUAAAUGUAAUUAUGACUUUAUUUGAGGUCUCCAAAACGAACGUUUUAUUACCAUGAAACACACAAGGAAAUCUAACAGAUCGAUCUAGUCAAUUGCUGAAUUCUGUGUAUUGACCACACUGGAUAUUAGUUGAAAGCUCAACUGUAUAAUAGACUUGGAACGUAGAACACACAAAAUAAGUUUAGAUUUACUUCGAUUUAAUAAUGAAAAGUAAAUUUUAAAAUGCUCGUGCGAAAUAUCAAAUUUUCUUUCUUUACUAGUUAUUUUCCAUU